GUCCUGACACCAACUAAAGUCUGGUCAUUCAAGACCAGAUAAGAAAAAGAAAAUCUUCUCGGCGGCCCCUCUGCGCUCCCGCGACCCCACUAAGAGCAGAGGAAAAACCCUCACUCGAGAAAAGCAAAAGAAAAAGGGAGGAGGUUAAAAAGAAAGCGACGAACUGCAUCAACGACAAAUGAAAAAUAAAUUACAUCAAAGAUACAGGGAACCUUGUCUCAGCGAGGAUUGGGGUUCUUAUCAAAAUCUCCGGUCUCCAAGAGAGCUCUCAAUGC
rnacentral:lncRNA from 1 species